UCCAGACUCCUACGGGAGGCAGCAGUGGGGGAUAUUGGACAAUGGGGGAAACCCUGAUGCAGCGACGCCGCGUGAGUGAAGAAGUAUUUCGGUAUGUAAAGCUCUAUCAGCAGGAACGAGACAAGACGGUACCUGACUAAGAAGCCCCGGCUAACUACGUGCCAGCAGCCGCGGUAAUACGUAGGGGGCAAGCGUUAUCCGGAAUCACUGGGUGUAAAGGGAGCGUAGACGGCUGUGCAAGCCUGAAGUGAAAGGCGGGGGCCCAACCCCUGGACUGCUUUGGGAACUGUACGGCUGGAGUGCAGGAGAGGUAAGUGGAAUUCCUAGUGUAGCGGUGAAAUGCGUAGAUAUUAGGAGGAACGCCAGUGGCGAAGGCGGCGUACUGGACUGUAACUGACGUUGAGGCUCGAAAGCGUGGGGAGCAAACAGGAUUAGAUACCCCAGUA
rnacentral:rRNA from 1 species